GCCACAGGCCAGGAGCCCAGGAAAAUAAGUGGCGACAGGUGAGAGACACAGAGCCUCCCGGCGGCCUCUGGAGCCACUUCAAAGGCCACGGCCCUGCCAGGUCUUCGGCCUGAUGAGGAGCUCAGUGUGACACUGAGCUGACUGGUCUGGGGAGUCAUGGGAUCUUCCCUGCCUUGAGCCAGAGACAGAGAAGGAUGCUGAAAGCAAAUACUGGGAGUACAGAAGCCCUUUCUCUCGCACGCUCCGCCACUGCCACAGCCCGGGGAGAAGCCCUUUUAUCAGAGAGAGAGAGAGACAGCCAGCGAGAGAGGGA